UGUGUACUGUAGACUGGUGAUGUGUACUGUAGUCUGGUGAGGAUGGUGAUGUGUACUGUAGACUGGUGAUGUGUACUGUAGUCUGGUGAGGAUGGUGAUGUGUACUGUAGUCUGGUGAGGGUGAUGGUGAUGUGUACUGUAGUCUGGUGAGGGUGAUGGUGAUGUGUACUGUAGUCUGGUGAGGGUGAUAUGUACUGUAGUCUGGUGAUGAUGUGGAUGUGUACUGAAUACUGGAACAAUAUUUCUAACAUAAGAAUGUGGGGAAUGGUCAGAGGCGAUCUAAAGAACGUGGGGAAUGGUCAGAGGCGAUCUAAAGAACGUGGGGAAUGGUCAGAGGCGAUCUAAAGAACGUGGGGAAUGGUCAGAGGCGAGCUAAAGAACGUGGGGAAUGGUCAGAGGCGAUCUAAAGAACGUGGGGAAUGGUCAGAGGCGAUCUAAAGAACGUGGGGAAUGGUCAGAGGCGAUCUAAAGAACAUGGGGAAUGGUCAG
rnacentral:lncRNA from 1 species